UUUUUAUUUUGAGAUGGAGGGAGUAUAAUAAAUAAGAGUUAUGCAUAAUAACAACACGAAAGUAAGACGCCUUCUAGCACGUGAAUUGCCCUUCACAGUGUGAAACUUUCCUGGACCAUUGGACGAAGUAGUCUGUAAGGUAUAUUGGAGAUUCAGUGGAAGGGAGUGCACCAUAUCGCCAUUAAUCUUCUUAAAAUAAUCAUUUUGAAAAUUGGACUACAGGCACAGUAGAGGUCCAAAUUUGCCCCUUUGGCCCCACCUUUCCCACGACUGCUUUCCACUUUCAAUUUCCCCUUCUCCUUCUCGAACCCUAAUUCUUCCUCCUCGCCACCAUGGCCAACCAACGCAACCUCUGACCUCAGCAAACUGCAAGUCUUCGCAGUAGCUUUAGUCGUCCGGGUUUCAUUCCCUAUUUGAUGACAGAUAUUUGGCUCAAAUCUGAUUUCCAUGGCUCCUACCUUUUGAUCUGAUUUUUAAUAUUUUUUCAAUUGAAAAAAUCAUCUCGUUCUUGGAUCUAAUUGUUAAACUUUGAUUGUUAAAUCAUAGUUAUUCUAGGUUGUUUUCUAACGUAGCCAACGGAAUCGAGGUGGUUUGCGGUGUCAUACGGACGGUGGGUUGCUGGUGUUGUAUGGCAACGUGAAGGGCUGCCGCCAUAAAUAGUGAAGUAGAAGAAGCAAGAGACGGGGUCUGGAACAAAGGGGGUAAAGACGAAGAAAAGGAAAAAAGGUAAAGUGUAAUCCGCUGCCGUUACUCCAAAAGAAUCUACACCUUCCGAUUCAAGACUCCUAUAUCCAACGGUUCAUGAAAAUUAGGCACGGUGCAAGACGUACACGACUCUCUCAUGCUAGAAGGCGUCCAAAGUUUGGGUUCCACAUUGUGACGUGCCUACAAUUCCACCAACUCACUCUGACUAGCCACCCUCCAUCCCAACAGAUCUUGCAAGCCACCAAAGCCCUAAAGCCAACUUAGAGAUUCUUUUUCUGGUUUAGUGGUCUCAACAAACCCACUACACUACGCAACCCAUGUCGGCCACAAUUGGGUUGGACCCUCCGGGACCCAUAUACCUUUUUCUGCUUCAACCUCAUCUAGUUUGGUUAUCGUCCAUUUCUGGCAGGUAAACUAAGCACAUCUUAUGCUCAUAACUUCAAUUACCUGAUAGUCUUGCACACUCGCAAGACAACAAUAACAAAUUUUGUCACCCAGUGUAACUAUUUUCCAUAUUGUUAACCUAAAAAAUUAAAAUAAUACCCCAAGAUUUGACUAGAAAAUAACGUAGCUGAGAGUAAUCCCCUCAAUCCUGUCAUGCUGACAUUGAUGUGAGUGUAAUUAAAAUACUUGAGAAAUUAAAAUUAUUCUUUUUUUGUAUUGCAUGAUUCUUUCAAAAUACCAAGGUGCUUUCACUAGUUAUAAAAGUUACAUCAUAUUUUUUUCUGAAGUAAUGUAUAUAUAUUUAUUUAUGAUUUAAAUAUAUUUUAAGUUUCUAAUAAAUGAUUAAUUUUUAUUUUGAGUUUCUAAUAUUUUUUUUAUUGUAUUAUAUUUUUGUUAUAUUAAAAUUUCUAUUUUAAAUUUAUUUUAUCAGCUAAAUUAUACUUACACCUUAAAUACAUAGGUUAAAUUUUAAAACAUAAAAGAUAAGAUAUUUGAUGAAAUUCUUGGGGUGGACUAUAUACAGAGUUUGUAACAUAUAAAUUUGUACUGCACAGCAUUUUUUAAAUUUUUUAUCACGCCUUUUUUUUUUGCGGGUUGGACAGACCCAAGCUCAACCUGUCCCUAUUAUCAUGUCUAUAUAUAAUAUGUAUUUUUGUUUUAUUUUAUUUAUAAAAUCAUUUUAUAAAAUAAUUUUUAAAAGCUGUUAUUUAAAAUAAUAAAAAAAUAUGAUUUUGAUAUAAUUUUAAAAGGAUAAAUAGGAGGAAAAAAUAGAUUUAUAAGUAUGUUUUAAGUUGUUACGAUUUUUUGUUUUGUAAAACCGAAAAUGAAAACAAAUUUUAUAAACAGAAAGCAAAAUCCUCUAAAGUGAGACGAGUACUAAUACAUAACUCUUGUUUUAAUUUUAUUUCUUCUAGGUUUAGAAAUACCGACGAUGCUAAAAUCAGUUCAUACCACAAUCGCAG
rnacentral:lncRNA from 1 species